CCCUCCCCUCGGCCUUGGUGGGUUGAUGAAGGCUGGAAAGUUGAAGUUAUGAGGAUUUAAUUGUCUGUUUUUAUUUUGAAGAUUUACCUUAUUAACUGGGAAGAACUUGGAGAACUCUCUAAUUUUGAGAAUGCAAAAUCAAAAAGAAAGUCAAUCUGGAGCUCUGUAUCUGAAAACAAAGGAUUUGAAAGGAAAACAGUGAAUGACACAAUUUGGUGG